UACGGGGAGAGCAAGCUUUGUCCGGAAUCACUGGGUUUAAAGGGAGCGCAGGCGGCUAGAUAAGUCAGAGGUGAAAGAUUGUCGCUUAACGAUAGAACUGCCUUUGAUACUGUUAAGCUUGAAAGUAGGUGAGGUUGGCGGAAUGUGACAUGUAGCGGUGAAAUGCAUAGAUAUGUCAUAGAACACCGAUUGGGUAGGGAGACGGUGAACCUGACUUUGACGCUGAGGCACGAAAGCGUGGGUAGCGAACAGG
rnacentral:rRNA from 1 species